GAAACCUUCACCUUUCUGCUGCUGUGUAUGUCAGUGGUGCUUCAUUUUUCACAAUUGAAAAGAUAUUUGCAGCUAAGAAGUUACAUCUUUUCAAGUAAGACACCUUUCGUCGUCAUGCACUGCUAUUGUUUACAAGUGGAGAAACUGGCAGGAUGAGAUGCUACAGCUGUUGGCUCAAAGGGAAAAGGUCAUUGUUGGAGGAGAUAUGAGGGCUGACUCACCAGGGCACUCUGCCAAAUAUGGCAGUUACACAAUGAUGGACCUGGAGACAAACACCGUUGUUGAUGUACAACUCGUCCAGGUAAAUGAGCAGAAAACUUUGAUGCAA